AACCCUUUAAUUUUUUGGGUUAAAAUCGCCCAUUUUUGGGUCAUUUUUGCUUCAAAAUUAUACAUUUUUAGCAACGACUGAAUAAAUUUGUUCCAUUUUGGUCAAUUUCUGCCAUUUUUGGGUCAAUUUUUACCAUUUUGGGUUCAAAUUUUGGCCAUUUUUGGGUCAUUUUUGACCUUUAUUUUGGUUAAAAUCGCCCAUUUUUGGGUCAUUUUGGGUCAAAAUUGCCAUUUUUAGCAACGAUUGAAUCAAUUUGUGCCAUUUUGGGUCAAUUUUUACCAUUUUGGGUCAUUUCUGCCUUUGGGUCAAUUUUGCCCAUUUUGGGUCAUUUUUGACCCUUUAAUUUUUGGGUUAAAAUCGUCCAUUUUUGGGUCAUUUUGGUCAAAUUGCCAUUUUUAGCAACGAUUGAAUAAAUUUGGUGCCAUUUUGGGCAAUUUCUGCCAUUUUUGGGUCAAAUUUCUGCCAUUUUUGGGUCAAUUUUUGGCCCAUUUUGGGUCAUUUUUGGCCCUUUAAUUUUUGGGUUAAAAUCGCCCAUUUUUGGUCAUUUUGGGUCAAAAUUGACAUUUUUAACAUCUUACAUUAAAUAUUGUUCAUUUUUGGGUCAAUUUUCUGCCAUUAUUGGGUUCAAUUUUGGCCCAUUUUGGGUCAUUUUUGACCCUUUAUUUUUGGGUUAAAAUCGCCCAAUUUGGUCAUUUUGGGUCAAAAUUGACAUUUUUAGCAACGAUUGAAUAAAUUUGUUCAUUUUUGGGUCAAUUUUCUGCCAUUUUUGGGUCAAUUUCUGCCAUUUUGGGGUCAAUUUUUGGCCCAUUUUGGGUCAUUUUUGACCUUUAAUUUUGGGUUAAAAAUCGCCCAUUUUUGGGUCAUUUUGGGUCAAAAUUGACAUUUUUAACAUCUACAUUAAUAUUUGUUCAUUUUUGGUCAAUUUUCUGCCAUUUUUGGGUCAAUUUCUGCCAUUUUUGGGUCAAUUUUGGCCCAUUUUGGGUCAUUUUUGGGUCUAUUCAUUUUUGGGUUAAAAUCGCCCAUUUUUGGUCAUUUUGGGUCAAAAUUGACAUUUUUAACAUCUACAUUAAAUAUUUGUUCAUUUUUGGGUCAAUUUCUGCCAUUUUUGGGUCAAUUUCUGCCAUUUUUGGGUCAAUUUCUGCCAUUUUUGGUCAAUUUUGGGUCAUUUUGGGUCAUUUUUGACCCUUUAAUUUUGGGUUAAAAUCGCCAUUUUUGGGUCAUUUGGUCAAAAUUAAAGUUUUUAACAUCUCCAUUAAAUAUUUGUUUCAUUUUUGGGUCAAUUUUCCUUUUGGUCGCCAUUUUUGGUCAAUUUGGGCCCAUUUGGGUGCACGACCUUGAAUUUUUGGGUUAAAAUCGCCAUUUUUGGGGUCAUUUUGGGUCAAAAUGACAUUUUUAGCACGAUUGAAUAAAUUUGUGCCAUUUUGGGUCA
rnacentral:lncRNA from 1 species